rnacentral:lncRNA from 1 species
ACUUGAGCCCAGGAGUUUGAAGCUGCAGUGACCCCAGAUUGCACCACUGUCCUCCAGCCUGGGCAAUAGAGCAAGACCCUUUCUCAAAAAUGAAAAAGAACAUUCUGGAGAGACAGAGAAGCAAGAGGGACCAGAAAGGAGAUGGGCUCUUGCUAUGUUGCCCAGGCUGGUCUCAAGCUCCUGGCCUCAAGAGAUCCUCCUGCCUCAGCCUCCCAAAGUGCUGGGAUUACAGGUGUGAGCUACCACACUGGCCCCUGCCUCAUACUUUUAAUUAACAUAAGUCUCUCUCUCUUCAGACCAUUUAGCCCCCAUUUUGGUUGGAAAAUAUCAGUGAGGUGAGGCUUGGGUAACAAAAAUGUCAAGCCUCUGAGAGGAGUCCAGGGUAUAAAAACAGGCGUGGGCCUGUUUCCAAAACCCUGACCAUCCUCAUGUCUGUCCCUCUUUCCUGCUGCUGAGGGUGGGAGGAGCCUGGAGCAGAGUGUGACAAGAUGUCAUCAGGCUCUGGAGUCCAGGUGACUUUCUGAGAUUCUCUAGUUUGACUCAUCCACAGAUGACAAAAGUAAGGCUUAAAGAAAAGAGAUUUCAUGACCAAAGUCGCAUGACCAAUGUAUGUGUGGGUGAGCAUGUAGUGGCCAGGGUGGUGGAAGAAUAGAUAGAAAUCCCUGGGCUGGGCGAGGUGGCUCAUGCCUGUAAUCCCAGCACUUUGGGAGACCGAGGCGGGUGGAUCACCUGAGGUCAGGAGUUUGGGAGCAGCCUGGCCAACAUGGCAAAACCCCGUCUCUACUAAAAAUACAAAAAUUAGCCGGGCGUGGUGCCGCACGCCUAUGACCCCAACUACUCAGGAGGCUGAGGCAGGAGAAUCGCUUGAACCCGGUGCAGUGAGCCGAGAUCGUGCCAUUCCACUCCAGCCUGGGCAACAGAGCGAGACUCUGUCUCAAAAUAAAUAAAUUAAAUAAAUAAAUGAAUGAAAAGACAGUCUCCGUCAGACUGCCCCAUCCUGGUGGUUUUGAGCCCUGCUGGGAGGAGCUGGAGAUGGAGAGUCCGGGGGAAACCGCCUUUGCAAAGAAAGAGAUCUAACUUAACUGACUCCACCUUGCUUCUAACCUCCAAGCUGUCUUUGUUUAUUCCUGGGCGUAGGCUGAACUAACUUUGGGAGAAACUUAGUUUGUAGUUUAUAGUUUAAACAAAGACAGUAACAGCCCUUUCCCAAAGCAGACCUUCUUGCCUGGGGACUAGACUAACACUAGCCAUAGGAUUAGAAAUUAUGGUUUAGGAGUCAUGCAGCUGGAGGCUACAAGAUUCUGACCCUCCCUAAACUGCUCCUAACAUCAGUGCUUGAGAUAUUUUGCAGACCCUGCACUUGAUGGAUCAGCUGGCACCACCCAGAUCAAUAAACUGGCUCAUCUGAUCUUGUGGCCCCCACCCAGAACUGACUCUGCAAGAAGACAGCUCUGACUCCUGAUGAUUUCAUCUCUGACCAAUCUGCACUCCCAGAUCCCAGCACUUUGGGAGGACCAGACAGGCAGAUCACAAGGUCAGGAUGAGAGGUGACAGCGUGCUGGCAGCCCUCACUCACUCUGGGCGCCUCCUCGGCCUCCACGCCAACUCUCCCUGCGCUUGAGGAGCCCUUCAGCCCGCCGCUGCACUGUGGGAGCCCCUCUCUGGGCUGGCCGAGGCGGGAGCCCGCUCCCUCUGCUUGCCAGAGGUGUGGAGGGAGAGGCGCGGACGGGAACUGGGGCUGCGGGCCACGCUCGAGGGCCAGCAUGAGUUCCGGGUGGGCGUGGGCUCGGUGGGCCCCGCACUCAGAGAGGCCGGCUGGCGCCAUUGGCCCCAGGCAGUGAGGGGCUUAGCACCCAGACCAGCAGCUGCAGAGGGUGCGCCAGGUCCCCCAGCAGUGCCAGCCCACAGGUGCACUUGAAUUCUCGCAGGCCUCAGCUGCCUCCCCACGGGGCAGGGCUUGGGACCUGCAGCCCGCCAUGCCCAAGCGUCCCCCUGCCUGGGCUCCUGCACCGCCCCCUGCUCUGCGGGGCCUGGUCCCAUCAACCGCCCAAGGGCUGAGGAGUGCAGGCACAGGAUUGGUGGGCAGCUCCACCUGCAGCCCAGGUGCUAGGUCCACUAGGUGAAGCCAGCUGGGCUCUUGAGUCUAGUGGGCACUUGGAGAACCUUUAUGUCUAGCUAAGGGAUUGUAAAUACACCAAUCAGCACUCUGUGUCUAGCUCAAGGUUUGUAAACACACCAAUCAGCACCCUGUCAAAAUGGACCAAUCAGCUCUCUAUAAAACAGACCAGUUGGCUCUCUGUAAAAUGGGCCAAUCAGCAGGAUGUGGGUGGGGCCAGAUAAGGCAAUAAAAGCAGGCUGCCAGAGCCAGCAGUGGCAACUCGGCGUACCCUUCCACAUAGGAAGCUUUGUUCUUUUGAUCUUUCCAAUAAAUCUUGCUGCUGCUUAUCCUGGGUCUGCACUGCCUUUAUGAGCUGUAACAUCGUGAAGGUCUGCAGCUUCACGCCAGAGGCCAGCGAGACCACGAACCCACCAGAAGGAAGAAACUCGGAACACGUCCGAACAUCAGAAGGAACAAACUCCGGACAUGCCGCCUUUAAGAACUGAAACACUCACCGUGAGGGUCCGCAGCUUCAUUCUUGAAGUCAGUGAGACCAAGAACCCGCCAAUUCUGGACACAAGGAGAUCGAGACCAUCCUGGCUAACACGGUGAAACCCCAUCUCUACUAAAAAUACAAAAAAUUUAUUAGGCGUGUUGGCGGAUGCCUGUAGUCCCAGCUAGUCCCAGCUACUCCCAGCUACUUGGGAGGCUGAGGCGGGAGAAUGGCAUGAACCUGGGAGGCGGAGCUUGCAGUGAGCCGAGAUUGCGCCACUGCCCUCAAGCCUGGGCGACAGAGCAAGACUCCAUCUCAAAAAAACAAAACAAAAACAAACAAAAAAACCCUCUGUUUCCCGAAUGCUCAGGGAGACUGAUUUGAGUAAUAAUAAAACUCCUGGCUGGACACAGUGGCUCACGCCUGUAAUUUCAGCAAUUUGGGAGGCCAAGGCCGGUGGAUCACCUUAGGUUGGGAGUUUGAGACCAGCGUGACCAACAUGGAGAAAACACUGUCUCUACUAAAAAUACAAAAUUAGCCAGGUGUGGUGGCAAGUGCCUGUAAUCCCAGCUACUCAGGAGGCUGAGGCAGGAGAAUCACUUAAACCCUGGAGGCGGAGGUUGCAGUGAGCCGAGGUGGCACCAUUGUACUCCAGCCUGGGCAAAAAGAGCAAAACCGUCAAAAAAAAAAAAAAAAAAAAAAAAAAAACUCCGGUCUCCUGCACAGCUGGCUCUGUGUGAAUUACUCUUUAUUGCAAUUUUGCUGUCUUGAUGAAUCGGCUAUGUGUAGGCAGCGGGCAAGGUGAACCCCUUUGGCAGUUACAGGGGGAAGCUAAGGCUCAGGACACUCGCAGAAACCUGAGGAGGCUAGAAUUUUACCAGAUUACAAGCCUUAAAAUCAAACCUGAAGUUAGUGCCAGCGAACAACACGCUUAAAAAUAACUAAGAUGUUCUUUCUGGCUGUUCUAGAGGUCAAUAUAGAAAAAUGAUAGUAACUUUGAUGUUAUUUUAUGUUAUGUAUUUCUUUUUUUCUUUUGAGACGGAGUCUGUCUCUGUUGCCCAGGCUGGAGUGCGGUGACGCAAUCUUGGCUCACUGCAACCUCCGCCUCCCGGGUUCAAGAUAUUCUUCUGCUUCAGCCAUCCAAGUAGCUGGGAUUACAGGUGUGUACCACCGUGCCUGGCAGUUAUGUGUGUUUCCCUACAAUCAAACAAUGAUUUAUUGUAAAAAAAAAAAAAAUCAAAAUAAACAAAACCUGAAAACUUGUAUGUGCUCUUUUAAUCAAUCUUUUUAAACAAACUUUUAGAAGAGUUAACAUUAUUAAAAACUGGAAAGAUCAGACAUGGUUUUUUCUUACUAAGAUAUCACUGGCUGUUUUGAUUCUUUCAUCACGUACAAGUUUAGGCCCUACACAAUGGUUCAUGCCUGUAAUCCCAGCACUUUGGGAGGCCAAGACAGGUGGAUCACCUAAGGUCGGGAGUUUGAGGCCAGCCUGACCAACAUGGCGAAACCCCGUCUCUACUAAACAUACCAAAAAAGGCCGGGUGAGGUGACUCACACCUGUAAUUCCAGCACUUUGGGAGGCCAAAGCAGGCGGAUCAUGAGGUCAGGAGUUCGACACCAACUUGGCCAACAUGGUGAAACCCUGUCUCUACUAGAAAUACAAAAAUUAGCCGGGUUUGGUGGCAGGUGCCUGUAGUCCCAGCUACUUGAGAGGCUGAGGCAGGAGAAUCGCUUGAACCCAGGAGGUGGAGGUUGUAGUGGGCCGGGAUCAUGCCACUGCACUCCAGCCUGGGUGACAGGGCAAGACUCUGUCUGGGGAAAAAAAAAAAAAUUAGCUGGGCGUGGUGACACAUGCCUGUAAUCCCAGCUACUCAGGAGGCUGAGGCAGGAGAAUUGCUUGAACCCAGGAGGAAGAGGUUGCAGUAAGCUGUGAUCAUGCCACUGCACUCCACCCUGGACAACAGAGCGAGACUCUGUCUCAAAAAAAAAAAAAAAAAGUUUAAGGCCAGGCAAGGUGGCUCAUGUUUGUAAUCCCACAAUUUUGGGAGACUGAAGCAGGAGGAUUGCUUGAGGGCAAGAGUUUGAGACCAGCCUGGGUAACAUAGCAAGACUCCCAUUUCUACAAAAAAUCAAAAAAUUAGCCAGGCAUGAUGGCAUGUGCUUGUAGUCUUAGUUACUUGGGAGGCUGAGAGGGGAGGAUCACUUGAGCUCAGGAGUUCAAGGCUGCAGUGAGCUAUGGGUGUACCACUACACUCCAGCCUGGGAAACAAAGCAAGACACUGUCUCAACAACAAAAAAAGACCAAGUAUAUUUAGUCAUUCUAUAAAAUUUAAGAAGCCAGCCAAAAACAUUUAUGUUCAGCAAUUUGUUUCAGUUAUUUCUUCUUACUUGGAAAUAAUACACACAUCUAAUGAAUAAUAGUUAAUUUAAUAGAACAUAAUAGAAGAUUUAAAAUUACAUGAAAAAUUUAUUUAUAAUAAAUUAUCCAUUACAUACUUUAUUUUUAACAGUUUCCCUAGAUUAUUUAUGAAAACUGAGAUAUUAGGCAAGGAUAGUCAUUAUUUCAAGUUACUUCCCUGUUAAUCAUUUUUAUAGCCUGUGACAAUCAGGUAUUCACCUAAGUAAGAAGCUUAAACAUAUGAGUAAUUUCUUGAUAACUCAGGAGAUACAGUUUUUUUUUUUUUUUUUUUUGAGGUGGAAUCUCGCUCUGUCUCCUAGGCUGGAGUGCAGUAGUGUAGUCUCGGCUCACUGCAACCUCUGCCUCCAGGUUCAAGCGAUUCUCCUGCCUCAGCCCCCCGAGUAGCUGGGACUACAGGCUCCUGCCACCACACCUGGCUAAUUUUUGUAUUUUUAGUAGAGACGGGGUUUCACUAUGUUGUCCAGGCUAGUCUUGAACUCCUGACCUCAGGUGAUCCACCCACGUCGGCCUCCCAAAGUGCUGCGAUUACUAAACCACCAUGCCCGGCCGAUAUAGAUGUUUUUACUAAAUGAAAAAUAUUAAAUUAGUAUUACUUAUCAAAAAUUACACAGGCUGGGCGUGGUGGCUCAGAUCUGUAAUCGCAAUAAUCACACUUUUUCUUUUUCUUUUUUCUUUUUUUUUUGAGACGGAGUCUUGCCCUGUUGCCCAGGCUGGAGGGCAAUGGCACAAUCUCGGCUCACUGCAACCUCCGCCUCCCAGGUUCAAGUAAUUCUCCUGCAUCAGCCUCCCGAGUGGCUGGGAUUACAGGCAUGCACCACCACGCCCGGCUAUUUUUUUUUUUUUUUUUUUUAUCUUUAGACAGAGUUUCACCAUGUUGGCUGGGCUGGUCUCAAACUCCUGACCUCAUGAUCCAUCCGCCUCAGCCUCUCAAAGUGCUGAUAUUACAGGCGUGAGCUACUGUGCCUAGCAACACUUUUUCUUUUUCUUUUUUUUUUUUUUUUUUUUUUUUUGAGACGGAGUCUCACUCUGUCACCCAGGCUGGAGUGCAGUGGCAUGAUCUCAGCUCACUGCAACCUCCGCCUCCCAGGUUCAAGCAAUUCUCCUGCCUCAGCCUCCCGAGUAGCUAGGAUUACAGGUGUGUGCCACCAUGCCUGGCUAAUUUUUGUAUUUUUAGUAGAGAUGGGGUUUCACUAUGUUGGUCUCAAACUCCUGACCUGGUGAUCCACCCCCUUCAGCCUCCCAAAGUGCUGGGAUUACAGGCAUGAGCCACCAUGCCCUGCGUCACUUUUUCUUUUAAUUAAUUUAAAAAAAUUUGUUUUUAGACAGAGUCUCACUCUGUUGCCCAGGCUGGAGGGCAGUGGCUUGAUCUCAGCUCACUGCAACCUCCACCUCCUGGGUUCAAAUGAUUCUCCUGCCUCAGCCUCCUGAGUAGCUGGGAUUACAGGUGCGCACCACCAUGCCUGGCUAUUUUUUUUUUUUUUUGAGACGGAGUCUUGCUCUGUUGCCCAGGCUGGAGUGCAAUGGCAUGAUCUCGGUUCACUACAACCUCUGCCUUCCAGGUUCAGGCGAUUCUCCUGCUUCAGCCUCCCAAGUAGCUGGGAUUACAGGUGCCCGUCACCAUGCCCAGCUAAUUUUUGUAUUUUUGGUAGAGAUGGGGUUUUGCCAUGUUGGUCAGGCUGCUCUCCAACUCCUGACCUCAGGUGAUCUGCCCGCCUCGGCCUCCCAAAGUGCUGGGAUUACAGGUGUGAGCCACUGCGCCCGGCCAUUUUAAUUUAAAUAGAGAUGGGGUCUUGCUGUGUUCCCCAGGCUGGUCUCAAACUCCUGGCCUGGAGCAGACCUCCCACCUCGGUGUCCUGAAGUUCUGGGAUUAUAGGCAUAAGCCACCAUACCUAGCCUAAUCUAAACACUUUGGGAGGCAGGAGGAUUGCUUGAAGAUAGUAGUUCAAGACCAGCCUGGGCAACACAGUGAGACUCCAUCUCUACCAAAAAAAAAAAAAAAUUAGCUGGGCAUGGUUCCAUGUGCCUGUAGUCCUAGCUACUCAAGAGGCUGAGGCAGAGGAUCACUUGAGCCCAGGAGUUCGAGGUUACAGUGAGUUAUAUCAUGCUACCUGGACAGCAGAGCAAGACCCUGUCUCUAACAACAACAAAAAAUUAUACAAACACAGAUCAUUUUGUUUAAAACUGGAUUUGUAGUCUUAUAACCCUUGUGUCAGACCCUGACACCUUAAAACAUCUAGUAGAGAUAAAUAUAAAACUGUCUGGCCAGUAAACCCAAGCAAAAAUGUAUGCUGAUAAUUCUGAAGACAUUUCUAUUUUUAUUUUACCAAUACUUUUUUUCUUUGUCUUUUUUUUUUUUUUUUUUUUUUUUUUAAAGAGAGUUUUCCUUGGUCACGCCAGCUGGAGUGCAGUGGCAUGAUCUCAGCUCACUGCAACCUCUGCGUCCUGGGUUCAAACAAUUCUCCUGCCUCAGCCUCCCAAGUAGCUGGGAUUACAGGCACUUGCCUCCACACCCAGCUACCUUUUUUGUAUUUUUAGUAGAGACAAGGUUUCCUCAUGUUGGCCAGGCUGAUCUCAAACUCCUGACCUCAGGUGAUCCACCCACCUCACCCUUCCAAAGUGCUGGGAUUACAGGUGUGAGCCACCAAGCCUAGCCUAUUUUACCAAUAGUUUUAAAACCAGCUUAUUUAUUAAAGAUUAAAGAUUUACGGCAGGGCACGGUGGCUCAUGCCUGUAAUCCCAGCACUUUGGGAGGCCAAGGUGGGCGGAUCACGAGGUCAGGAGAUCGAGAUCAUCCUGGCUCAUAGUGAAACUCCAUCUCUACUAAAAAAAAUACAAAAAAGUAGCCAAGUGUGGUGGCCCACGUGUGCCUGUAAUCCCAGCUACUCGGGAGGCUGAGGCAGAAUUGCUUGAGCCUGGGAGACGGAGGUUGCUGUGAGCUGAGAUCAUGCCACUGCACUUCAGCCUGGCCGACAGAGCGAGACUCUACCUCAAAAAAAAAAAAAAGAAAGAAAAAAAAUUUUUUUUUCAGUUUCGGCUGAUUGAGGUGGCUGGUGCCUGUAACCCCAGCACUUUGGGAGGCCGGUGUGGGAGGAUUGCUUAAACCCAUGAGCUCAAGACCAGACUGGGCAACAAAGUGAGACCUCAUCUGUACAAAAAAUGAGAAAAUUACCUGGGCAUAGUGGUGCAUGCCUGUAGUCCCAGCUCAGGAUUCAACUGGGGAGGUCGAGGCAGGAAAACUGCUUGAGCUCAGGAGGUUGAGCUGUGUUUGUGCCAGUGCACUCCAGCCUGGGCAUGAGAGUGAGACUGUCUCAAAAAACUGUUUUUUAUCAGUUUCAAAUGAGUUUAGGGUUAAAUUUUCAAUUGUUUACAUUUUAGCCAGGAUUGGCUAAAUUGUAUAAGAAAUACAAAAUAUCUAAGUGCCCUGGAACUAGUAACACGUCUAUGUUUUGUUUGCUGAUCUGGUUUGAUUUGCAAAUGUGGGCAGGAAAGAACUUUAGCAGGUGUUUUUUUUAUUUUGUUUUUGUUUUUGCCUUUUGGCCUCUGUGUGACAGAAAAAGCAACAUUUUUAUGCUGGACAGAGAUACCUUACAUUAUUGCUCUGAGCUCAAGGUUUCAACUUCUUUGAUCUAAGAGAGUCUAACUUUUAUAGACCUUUUUUUUGGUGUUUUAUUUUAUUUUAUUUUAUUUGAGACGGAGUCUUGCUCUGUUGCACAGGGUGGAGUGCAGUGGCGUGAUCUUGGCUCGCUGCAAGCUCCACUUCCCAGGUUCAAGAGAUUCUCCUGCUUCAGCCUCCUGAGUAAUUGGGACAACAGGCACGUGCCACUGCGCCUGGCUAAUUUUUUAUAUUUUUAGUAGAGACGGGGUUUCACCAUAUUGGCCAGGCUGGUCUCGAACUGUUUUUUUUUUUUUUUUUUUUUUUUUUUUUUUUUUUUUGAGACGGAGUUUCGCUCUGUCGCCCAGGCUGGAGUGCAG